rnacentral:rRNA from 1 species
AUUGAACGCUGGCGGCAGGCCUAACACAUGCAAGUCGAACGAGUGGCGGACGGGUGAGUAAUGUCUGGGAAACUGCCUGAUGGAGGGGGAUAACUACUGGAAACGGUAGCUAAUACCGCAUACCAUCGGAUGUGCCCAGAUGGGAUUAGCUAGUAGGGGGGGUAACGGCUCACCUAGGCGACGAUCCCUAGCUGGUCUGAGAGGAUGACCAGCCAAACUGGAACUGAGACACGGUCCAGACUCCUACGGGUGGAAGCAGUGGGGAAUAUUUCACAAUGGGGGCAAGCCUGAUGCAGCCAUGCCGCGUGUAUGAAGAAGGCCGUCGGGUUGUAAAGUACUUUCAGCGGGGAGGCGUUACUCGCAGAAGAAGCACCGGCUAACUCCGUGCCAGCAGCCGCGGUAAUAC